CAGCCACCGCCGCCCGUCGCCUUCGUCUUCUUCGUCUCCCCAAACGACGCCGCACCUGCCCACAGCCGCACAUACACCGCCCUUCCGCACCACCUCACUGCCUUCGUCUUCUUCUUCAUAUUGUAAGUUUUUCUUAGGGUUAUUGUUAUUUACUGAUCAAGGAGCCUACCUAUUCACAAGCUGAGUGGAUAUAUAUCACCAGAUAUCGGGAAACUACAACAGUUGCAAUUCUUGUAUGAAUCCCUAUCUCCACUUUCUCUAAAAUGCUUACAGUUGUUGCAAAUCUGCUAACACAAUGUUGUAUUUGCAGAUCACUUCAUGACAACAACUUUUAUGGGGAAAUACCAGUUGGGAAACUGUACAAUGCUGAAGUCUUUGUUUUUGCAGGGUAAUUAUUUGAGUGGACUGUUUCCUGAUCAACCGAGAAACUUUCCUGAUCUUGAAAAUAUGGAUCUCUCUAGUAACUCUCUCAGUGGAAAUGUUCCACAAUCACUUGGGAAGAUAGACAAGCUCAUAUCAUUCAA